GAAAUGCGAUACUUGGUGUGAAUUGCAGAAUCCCGUGAACCAUCGAGUCUUUGAACGCAAGUUGCGCCCGAAGCCGUCAGGCCGAGGGCACGUCUGCCUGGGCGUCACGCAUCGCGUCGCCCCCCGCUCGAUCCUCGGUCGAGCGCGGGGUGCGGAUGUUGGCCUCCCGUGCCCCAACUCGUGGCGCGGUCGGCCUAAAUGCGAGUCCUUGGCGACGGACGUCACGGCGAGUGGUGGUCGUACCUAGCGUGCAUAUCUUCGCGCCGUGCCCCGUCGUUCUCGGGCGAACGACCCCGAACGAGCCCCCCUCAGUGCGGCUCUCCGAACGCGACCCCAGGUUAGGCGGGAUUACCCGCUGAGUUUAA
rnacentral:misc_RNA from 1 species